rnacentral:rRNA from 1 species
AGAGUUUGAUCAUGGCUCAGGAUGAACGCUGGCGGCGUGCCUAAUACAUGCAAGUCGAACGAGUUCUGAUUAUUGAAAGGUGCUUGCAUCUUGAUUUAAUUUUGAACGAGUGGCGGACGGGUGAGUAACACGUGGGUAACCUGCCCUUAAGUGGGGGAUAACAUUUGGAAACAGAUGCUAAUACCGCAUAAAUCCAAGAACUGCAUGGUUCUUGGCUGAAAGAUGGCGUAAGCUAUCGCUUUUGGAUGGACCCGCGGCGUAUUAGCUAGUUGGUGAGGUAACGGCUCACCAAGGCAAUGAUACGUAGCCGAACUGAGAGGUUGAUCGGCCACAUUGGGACUGAGACACGGCCCAAACUCCUACGGGAGGCAGCAGUAGGGAAUCUUCCACAAUGGACGCAAGUCUGAUGGAGCAACACCGCGUGAGUGAAGAAGGCUUUCGGGUCGUAAAACUCUGUUGUUGGAGAAGAAUGGUCGGCAGAGUAACUGUUGUCGGCGUGACGGUAUCCAACCAGAAAGCCACGGCUAACUACGUGCCAGCAGCCGCGGUAAUACGUAGGUGGCAAGCGUUAUCCGGAUUUAUUGGGCGUAAAGCGAGCGCAGGCGGUUUUUUAAGUCUGAUGUGAAAGCCCUCGGCUUAACCGAGGAAGUGCAUCGGAAACUGGGAAACUUGAGUGCAGAAGAGGACAGUGGAACUCCAUGUGUAGCGGUGAAAUGCGUAGAUAUAUGGAAGAACACCAGUGGCGAAGGCGGCUGUCUGGUCUGUAACUGACGCUGAGGCUCGAAAGCAUGGGUAGCGAACAGGAUUAGAUACCCUGGUAGUCCAUGCCGUAAACGAUGAAUGCUAGGUGUUGGAGGGUUUCCGCCCUUCAGUGCCGCAGCUAACGCAUUAAGCAUUCCGCCUGGGGAGUACGACCGCAAGGUUGAAACUCAAAGGAAUUGACGGGGGCCCGCACAAGCGGUGGAGCAUGUGGUUUAAUUCGAAGCAACGCGAAGAACCUUACCAGGUCUUGACAUCUUCUGAUCACCUGAGAGAUCAGGUUUCCCCUUCGGGGGCAAAAUGACAGGUGGUGCAUGGUUGUCGUCAGCUCGUGUCGUGAGAUGUUGGGUUAAGUCCCGCAACGAGCGCAACCCUUAUGACUAGUUGCCAGCAUUUAGUUGGGCACUCUAGUAAGACUGCCGGUGACAAACCGGAGGAAGGUGGGGAUGACGUCAAAUCAUCAUGCCCCUUAUGACCUGGGCUACACACGUGCUACAAUGGAUGGUACAACGAGUUGCGAGACCGCGAGGUCAAGCUAAUCUCUUAAAGCCAUUCUCAGUUCGGACUGUAGGCUGCAACUCGCCUACACGAAGUCGGAAUCGCUAGUAAUCGCGGAUCAGCACGCCGCGGUGAAUACGUUCCCGGGCCUUGUACACACCGCCCGUCACACCAUGAGAGUUUGUAACACCCGAAGCCGGUGGCGUAACCCUUUUAGGGAGCGAGCCGUCUAAGGUGGGACAAAUGAUUAGGGUGAAGUCGUAACAAGGUA